rnacentral:rRNA from 1 species
ACGUGCCAGCAGCCGCGGUAAGACGUAGGACGCGAGCGUUAUCCGGAUUUACUGGGCGUAAAGCGUGUGUAGGCGGCGUGACAAGUUGGGCGUGAAAGCCCCGUGCUCAACGCGGGGAGGCCGCACAAUACUGUCAGGCUAGAGGGCAUCAGAGGGGUGUGGAAUUCCCGGAGUAGCGGUAAAAUGCGCAGAUAUCGGGAGGAACACCGGUGGCGAAAGCGGCACCCUGGGGUGCACCUGACGCUGAGAGACGACAGCUAGGGGAGCGAACAGGAUUAGAGACCCUGGUAGUCCUAGCCGUAAACGAUGGAUGCUAGGUGUGGGAGUGAAGAACUUCUGUGCCGCAGCGAACGCGAUAAGCAUCCCGCCUGGGGAGUACGGCCGCAAGGUUAAAACUCAAACGAAUUGACGGGGACCCGCACAAGCAGCGGAGCGUGUGGUUUAAUUCGAUGCUACACGAAGAACCUUACCUGGGAUUGACAUAUGGGUGGUAGUGAGCCGAAAGGCAAGCGACCCUUCGGGGAGCCUAUACAGGUGCUGCAUGGCUGUCGUCAGCUCGUGCCGUGAGGUGUCGGGUUAAGGCCCGUAACGAGCGCAACCCCUGUCCUUAGUUACAAGUGUCUAAGGGGACUGCCGGCGGGAAGCCGGAGGAAGGUGGGGAUGACGUCAAGUCAGCAUGGCCCUUAUAUCCAGGGCGACACACACGCUACAAUGGUCGGUACAGAGGGCAGCGAAGCCGCGAGGUGGAGCGAAACCCAGAAAGCCGGUCGUAGUUCGGAUUGCAGGCUGCAACUCGCCUGCAUGAAGUUGG